rnacentral:rRNA from 1 species
GAUGAACGCUGGCGGCGUGCCUAAUACAUGCAAGUCGAGCGAACGGACGAGAAGCUUGCUUCUCUGAUGUUAGCGGCGGACGGGUGAGUAACACGUGGAUAACCUACCUAUAAGACUGGGAUAACUUCGGGAAACCGGAGCUAAUACCGGAUGAUAUUUUGAACCGCAUGGUUCAAAAGUGAAAGACGGUCUUGCUGUCACUUAUAGAUGGAUCCGCGCUGCAUUAGCUAGUUGGUAAGGUAACGGCUUACCAAGGCAACGAUGCAUAGACGACCUGAGAGGGCGAUCGGCCACACUGGAACUGAGACACGGUCCAGACUCCUACGGGAGGCAGCAGUAGGGAAUCUUCCGCAAUGGGCGAAAGCCUGACGGAGCAACGCCGCGUGAGUGAUGAAGGUCUUCGGAUCGUAAAACUCUGUUAUUAGGGAAGAACAUAUGUGUAAGUAACUGUGCACAUCUUGACGGUACCUAAUCAGAAAGCCACGGCUAACUACGUG